rnacentral:rRNA from 1 species
AACGUAGGGGACAAGCGUUAUCCGGAUUUACUGGGCGUAAAGCGCCCGUAGGCGGCUUUGUAAGUUGGACGUGAAAGCUCCCGGCUUAACUGGGAGAGGCCGUUCAAAACUGUAGAGCUAGAGUGAGGCAGAGGAGUGCGGAAUUCCCGGUGUAGUGGUGGAAUGCGUAGAUAUCGGGAGGAAUACCAGUGGCGAAAGCGGCACUCUGGGCCUAAACUGACGCUGAGGGGCGAAAGCGUGGGGAGCAAACAGG